rnacentral:rRNA from 1 species
UACGUAGGGGGCAAGCGUUGUCCGGAAUCAUUGGGCGUAAAGAGCGUGUAGGCGGCCCGAUAAGUCCGCUGUGAAAGUCCAGGGCUCAACCCUGGAAUGCCGGUGGAUACUGUCGGGCUCGAAUCCGGAAGAGGUGAGUGGAAUUCCUGGUGUAGCGGUGGAAUGCGCAGAUAUCAGGAGGAACACCGAUGGCGAAGGCGGGUCUCUGGGCAGUAACUGACGCUGAGGAGCGAAAGCGUGGGGAGCGAACAGG